rnacentral:lncRNA from 1 species
GUGUAAUGACAUUGUUUAUUUAUAAAUGAGAUAUUUUUUAUGCAUCAUUGCAAUCUCAUCUUAUUAUAUUUAAGAUUAUGAUGAACCCCAUAGAUUAGGACAAUGAUUUUAGGAUCAUGCCUAUGAGACCUAAUAUCCUAAAACUCGAAUCUAAAAUAUUUUUAAUCGUAGGAAUAUUGAGUCGAGGAUCAAUAUUUUGGAUAGACUGGUAGAUCCUAUAUGUGCUUGAUGGAGAGGA